rnacentral:rRNA from 1 species
GAUGAACGCUGGCGGCGUGCCUAAUACAUGCAAGUCGAGCGAACAGAUGAGGAGCUUGCUCCUCUGACGUUAGCGGCGGACGGGUGAGUAACACGUGGAUAACCUACCUAUAAGACUGGGAUAACUACGGGAAACCGGAGCUAAUACCGGAUAAUAUAUUGAACCGCAUGGUUCAAUAGUGAAAGACGGUUUUGCUGUCACUUAUAGAUGGAUCCGCGCCGCAUUAGCUAGUUGGUAAGGUAACGGCUUACCAAGGCAACGAUGCGUAGCUGACCUGAGAGGGUGAUCGGCCACACUGGAACUGAGACACGGUCCAGACUCCUACGGGAGGCAGCAGUAGGGAAUCUUCCGCAAUGGGCGAAAGCCUGACGGAGCAACGCCGCGUGAGUGAUGAAGGUCUUCGGAUCGUAAAACUCUGUUAUUAGGGAAGAACAAAUGUGUAAGUAACUAUGCACGUCUUGACGGUACCUAAUCAGAAAGCCACGGCUAACUACGUG